rnacentral:rRNA from 1 species
CCUACGGGAGGCAGCAGUAAGGAAUAUUGGUCAAUGGGCGGAAGCCUGAACCAGCCAUGCCGCGUGCAGGAAGACGGCCCUAUGGGUUGUAAACUGCUUUUGUACCGGAAUAAACCCCCGAACGUGUUCGGGGCUGAAUGUACGGUAAGAAUAAGGAUCGGCUAACUCCGUGCCAGCAGCCGCGGUAAUACGGAGGAUCCGAGCGUUAUCCGGAUUUAUUGGGUUUAAAGGGUGCGUAGGCGGCCUGUUAAGUCAGGGGUGAAAGACGGUAGCUCAACUAUCGCAGUGCCUUUGAUACUGACGGGCUUGAAUGUACUUGAGGUAGGCGGAAUGUGACAAGUAGCGGUGAAAUGCAUAGAUAUGUCACAGAACACCAAUUGCGAAGGCAGCUUACUAAGGUAUGAUUGACGCUGAGGCACGAAAGCGUGGGGAUCAAACAGGAUUAGAUACCCUGGUAGUCCACGCCCUAAACGAUGAAUACUCGAUGUUGGCGAUAUACGGCCAGCGUCUAAGCGAAAGCGUUAAGUAUUCCACCUGGGGAUACGCCCGCAGGUGAACUCAAAUGAAUUGAGGCUGNGNGNGCGAGNGACGACGAGGAGAG